UAGGGAAUCUUCCGCAAUGGACGAAAGUCUGACGGAGCAACGCCGCGUGAGUGAAGAAGGAUUUCGGUUCGUAAAACUCUGUUGUUAGGGAAGAAAAAAUGUAUAGUAACUAUAUACAAAAGAGACGGUACCUAACCAGAAAGCCCCGGCUAACUACGUGCCAGCAGCCGCGGUAAUACGUAGGGGGCUAGCGUUGUCCGGAAUCACUGGGCGUAAAGGGUUCGCAGGCGGAAAUGCAAGUCAGGUGUAAAAGGCAGUAGCUUAAUUACUGUAAGCAUUUGAAACUGCAUAUCUUGAGAAGAGUAGAGGUAAGUGGAAUUUUUAGUGUAGCGGUGAAAUGAGUAGAUAUUAAAAAGAAUACCGGUGGCGAAGGCGACUUACUGGGCUCAUUCUGACGCUGAGGAACGAAAGCGUGGGUAGCAAACAGG
rnacentral:rRNA from 1 species